rnacentral:rRNA from 1 species
UACGGAGGGAGCUAGCGUUGUUCGGAAUUACUGGGCGUAAAGCGCGCGUAGGCGGCUUUGUAAGUUAGAGGUGAAAGCCCGGGGCUCAACCCCGGAACUGGCCUUUAAAACUGCAUCGCUUGAAUCCAGGAGAGGUGAGGUGGAAUUCCGAGUGUAGAGGUGAAAUUCGUAGAUAUUCGGAAGAACACCAGUGGCGAAGGCGGCUCACUGGACUGGUAUGACGCUGAGGUGCGAAAGCGUGGGGAGCAAACAGG